UACGUAGGGACCGAGCGUUGUCCGGAAUCAUUGGGCGUAAAGAGCGUGUAGGCGGCCUUUUAAGUCCUGCGUGAAAUCCUGCGGCUCAACCGCAGACGGUCGUGGGAAACUGGAAGGCUAGAGUGCGGGAGAGGAGAGUGGAAUUCCCGGUGUAGCGGUGAAAUGCGCAGAUAUCGGGAAGAACACCCGUGGCGAAGGCGGCUCUCUAGUACGGUACUGACGCUGAGACGCGAAAGCGUGGGGAGCGAACAGG
rnacentral:rRNA from 1 species